UACGUAGGGUGCAAGCGUUAAUCGGAAUUACUGGGCGUAAGGCGUGCGCAGGCGGUUUUGUAAGUCAGAUGUGAAAUCCCCGGGCUUAACCUGGGAACUGCGUUUGAAACUACAAGGCUAGAGUGUGGCAGAGGGGGGUGGAAUUCCACGUGUAGCAGUGAAAUGCGUAGAGAUGUGGAGGAACACCGAUGGCGAAGGCAGCCCCCUGGGUUAACACUGACGCUCAGGCACGAAAGCGUGGGGAGCAAACGGG
rnacentral:rRNA from 1 species